CCUGGUUGAUUCUGCCAGUAGUCAUAU
rnacentral:misc_RNA from 1 species